rnacentral:rRNA from 1 species
GACAGAGGUGCCAAGCGUUAGGCGGAAUCACUGGGCUUAAAGCGUGUGUAGGCGGAAUGGUAAGUACCUUGUGAAAUCCCACGGCUCAACCGUGGAACUGCUUGGUAUACUGCUUUUCUUGAGCCACUUAGGGGCUGUCGGAACAAACGGUGGAGCGGUGAAAUGCGUAGAUAUCGGGUGGAACACCAGGGGCGAAGGCGGCAUCCUGGCUCUGUACUGACGCUGAGGCGCGAGAGCGUGGGGAGCAAACCGG